GACGAACGCUGGCGGCGUGCUUAACACAUGCAAGUCGAACGAAGUGGCGAACGGGUGAGUAACGCGUAAUCAACCUGCCCUUCAGAGGGGGACAACAGUUGGAAACGACUGCUAAUACCGCAUACUGAAGGAGGGGAUUGCGUCUGAUUAGCUGGUUGGAGGGGUAACGGCCCACCAAGGCGAUGAUCAGUCGCCGGUCUGGGAGGAUGGACGGCCAAACUGGGAACGGGACACGGCCCAGACUCCUACGGGGGGCAGCAGUGGGGAAGCUUCCGCAAUGGACGAAAGUCGGACGGAGCAACGCCGCGUGAGUGGUGACGGCCUUCGGGUUGUAAAGCUCUGUUAAGCGGGACGCGGUACCGGAAGAGAAAGCCACGGCUAACUACGUGCCAGCAGCCGCGGUAAUAC
rnacentral:rRNA from 1 species